rnacentral:rRNA from 1 species
AUGAACGCUGGCGGCGUGCCUAAUACAUGCAAGUCGAGCGAACAGAUGAGGAGCUUGCUCCUCUGACGUUAGCGGCGGACGGGUGAGUAACACGUGGAUAACCUACCUAUAAGACUGGGAUAACUUCGGGAAACCGGAGCUAAUACCGGAUAAUAUAUUGAACCGCAUGGUUCAAUAGUGAGAGACGGUUUUGCUGUCACUUAUAGAUGGAUCCGCGCCGCAUUAGCUAGUUGGUAAGGUAACGGCUUACCAAGGCAACGAUGCGUAGCCGACCUGAGAGGGUGAUCGGCCACACUGGAACUGAGACACGGUCCAGACUCCUACGGGAGGCAGCAGUAGGGAAUCUUCCGCAAUGGGCGAAAGCCUGACGGAGCAACGCCGCGUGAGUGAUGAAGGUCUUCGGAUCGUAAAACUCUGUUAUUAGGGAAGAACAAAUGUGUAAGUAACUAUGCACGUCUUGACGGUACCUAAUCAGAAAGCCACGGCUAACUACGUG